rnacentral:rRNA from 1 species
GAUGAACGCUGGCGGCGUGCCUAAUACAUGCAAGUCGAGCGAACGGACGAGAAGCUUGCUUCUCUGAUGUUAGCGGCGGACGGGUGAGUAAAACGUGGAUAACCUACCUAUAAGACUGGGAUAACUUCGGGAAACCGGAGCUAAUACCGGAUAAUAUUUUGAACCGCGUGGUUCAAAAGUGAAAGACGGUCUUGCUGUCACUUAUAGAUGUAUCCGCGCUGCAUUAGCUAGUUGGUAAGGUAACGGCUUACCAAGGCAACGAUGCAUAGCCGACCUGAGAGGGUGAUCGGCCACACUGGGACUGAGACACGGUCCAGACUCCUACGGGAGGCAGCAGUAGGGAAUCUUCCGCAAUGGGCGAAAUCCUGACGGAGCAACGCCGCGUGAGUGAUGAAGGUCUUCGGAUCGUAAAACUCUGUUAUUAGGGAAGAACAUAUGUGUAAGUAACUGUGCACAUCUUGACGGUACCUAAUCAGAAAGCCACGGCUAACUACGUG